rnacentral:rRNA from 1 species
CCGGUCGAUCCUGCCGGAAUCCGACGCUCUCCCCAAGGACACAAGCCAUGCAUGCCCGCGCACCCGGGAGGCGGCGGACGGCUCAGGACAACGGUUGCACCCCCCGCGGCGGUCCCUGCUAGCCGGACACCGCUGGCAACCCGGCGCCAAGACGUGCGCGCAAGGGCGGGCGCCCGCGGGCGAGCAGCGUGACGCAGCGACGGCCCGCCCGGGCUUCCGGGGCAUCACCCGGUCGGCGCGGUCGCGGCGCGCCGAGGGCCCGACGCCUGGCGGAGAAUCAGGGUUCGA